rnacentral:lncRNA from 1 species
UAGAAGCAGCUGACGUACACAACUCGAUCUUCCUUAGCACAUGAUCUCCAACAUUGAGAAUGAUCAGAUUCAUCACAUUCUUUGAUCUUUCAAGCCUUUCGGCUUCCUCUUUCAUCAACCUCUCCCUGAAUACAUCUUCGUCUUCAUCCUUCCUCAUUACUGACGCAGAAGGUGACAUAGACUCUUAUAACACAUCCUUUAAACCAAGGACGAACAAAUGCGCAAGCAUCCUCUUCUUCCACAAUGAGAAGUCACCCUUCCCAUCAAAACGCUCCACCU